rnacentral:lncRNA from 10 species
CCUGUCUGUUCCCUUACCUGUACCCUGCCUCAGGCCCAAAUUGUUGGACACAAGACUUGCUUAAAGUUUCCUCUAAACCAGCUCUAAACAGAAGGCUGUUAGGUGUGGCAGACUUUGUCUUUUUUCUCCAAUUUUUAUGAAUCAAUAACCUGUUAAAGCGCUCAGCAGGACCAGUCUCUGCAAGACCUUUCCUUAGGAGGAAGUUCUGUUAUGGGACAAAGAUGUCCGCAAUCACUGUUCCUGACUUAGGCUUCCUGAGUCUCAUCACCUGAAGCUCUGAGUUUGUCUGGCCCUCUUUGUCCCCUGCUCCCCAUUGCUUCCUCCCCGACUCCCACUUUCUUCGAUGACCACCACCAGCACUGCUGCCCCCACCACCUUAAAGCCUCCUUCCCAGCAAGGCUUUGAGAGGCCACCUGGUCAGGACAGUGAGUUAAGCUCAUUAAUGAGGUUCUGGGUCCUCGCAGCUCUGUAAUUUUCAUUUCUGCACCUCCCCAGUCUGGGUGACACAGGAGACUGACCAACUAUGGGUAUUUCCAGCCUCUGCCCACUCCUCAGAAGCCCAG